AAGGAGCACCACGAAAUUCCCCCGUCCCCACACCGUGUGGGAUCAAGGCGGUUGGGAGAUCGCCCGUCACCUGUAGUGGGUGCGGGUGGGUGCGCAACAACAAUGUCCGGUCCGUUGGGCCGGUGAGAAUCGCCAGGCACACUGUUGGGUCCUGA
rnacentral:misc_RNA from 1 species